UCAUCUGGCAGGAAUACCAUUAAGCCAUUGCCUCCCCUUUUUAGCAAUGUUUAAAGAAAGUUCCAUCAUUCUACGUGAACAAUGUGCAACGUCCAUGUGUCGGCCUCUCCAAAAGGAUGAGGCUGUCACUGGCUCGGCCAGCAUUUAUUGCUGCGUUUACCCAGAGGGCAGUUAAGAGUCAACUGCGUUGCUAUAGGUCUGGAGUCCCAUGCAGACCAGACCAGAUCCCAGUGAUCAGUGCCAAAGCCCCAUUGCCUGUGGAGAAGGUGAUGUUUGAUUUCCUGUACAGCUGCAGUUCAUGUGGUGAAGGUGCUCCCACAAUGUGGUUGGGAAAUUGACAGCACCCAGAGGAAGCCCACGCAGACACACAGGGAGAAUGUGCAAACACCACACAGACAGUGGAGUCGAACCAGAGUCCAUUUAUUGACCAGCGCAUUCCAUUAAAGGUCCACACCUUCCUCAGUCUCCUUAUCAAUUAUUGGCAUGUUCUUCGUAUCCUCCACUGUGAAGACUGACUGCUGUGUACUCCUAUUCCUGAACCCUACUGGAUAGCAAUAACUAGGGUGCUAGACGGUGAAGAUUUGCAGACUGAAAUCUCAAACUCGUAUGCAGAUUGUGAUUAAGUUAACCAGCAUUUGAAGAACCAAACAUGGAGAAUAACUUGCCCAAAAUUCUGCAACACACUCCCUCCCAGCAUUGUUGGUCUUUCUGCGCCAAAUGGACUGUGAAUGGUACAAGACAGCAGCUCACUCCCAUCUUCUCAAGGGUAACUAGAGAUGGGGAAUAAAUGCUGGCUGAGCCAGUGAUGCCCAUAUCCUGGAAAUGGUUUCUAUCUCUAAUUGCUGAGUUUGGGGAGAAUGUGCAAACUCCACACAGGCUGUUGACCAAGGCUGGACUCCAACCUUGUACCUGGUGCUGUGAAGCAGCAGUGCUAUAGAGCAAUUUAAAUCAAAACAGAUGACCCCUGCUCAUUGCUGUUUGUGGAGACUCAUUGCCCAGAGAGACAUCCUGAGAUUCAGAAAGAGACAAUAUGAAUUCAAUCAACUCCUGCCGAGUUAAUGUGAUUAACAACAACAUCAAUACUCCAACAGUGUUAUGAGACUUCGUACCUACUAUAUCAUUUACGAUUUUUAACCCAUGGGAAGUUUGUUACCAUCUUCAAUGACAGCCAUAAUGCUCUGACCACUUUGACAGAGCCAGUGCUAGUCAGUUCUAAUAGUUAUCAAUAGAUUGUAUCUAAACAGGAUGCCCCACAACAGGAAGUGCUCUGGCACUCAAUGCCCGUAAGUCAAGGUCAUUUUCCUAAAACCACUCACGACUGGCAAUACCAUUGAAGGUAUUUUAUACAGUUACCUUACAGUCUCAAUUGCAAGUUCCAGUCCAUGAAGCAGCCAGUAACAUGCCCCAGUGAAUUGAAUUCUAACAGCAGCAUUGCCCUGGCAGGAGAGAUUGAGGAGCUUGAAGCUGUCUUCUCUGGACUAACUAAACAUGAAACACUUCAAAUGAACAAAAAUCUUCAAGAGCUCAAGAGGAUAGAUACAGGAAGGAAGUGCUCCCUGGCUGGUGUGCCUGGAAUGAAAUAAGCACUAACUACAGUAUCUUUACCCAACAUCCCCUUUAGCUGCAUCGAUGUUGAAGAUUUAUUUGCUGCUCUAAUUCCACUCUCUUGAUCACUCCAAUUUUUAACUGCUGUAAUGUUC